ACAGCCUACAUUUUGAGUAUGACUUAUGAGUAGUCUUAAACCUUAAAGAGCUCCAAGAGACAAUGCAAAUCAUUGUGGGCACUUAUCUUUAUUAUAAAUUCAUUUUUAAACAGUUUCCAGGCCCUGCCUUGUACCCAUUUCUCUGCAGACCUCUCUUAUCAUACAGCUUAGACUAUAAGCCCACGGCUGGACUCCACACAGCGUGCCGAAAUAAACAUCUUUAUAGUUUAGGCCAGUUCGGGUGCAGAUUCCCGUUACUCAGAGCUGAAAGCAUCCUAACUCAUGCAAUGUCUCAGGAUUCCAGAAAUGGCUGAGGCCUGGAGCCGGUUGCUUGAGGCCCCAUGGAGAGUGGUUCCCUGAGCAGACAUUCAAAAGCACUCCAUCUGCAUCGUGCGAGCCCCCACAUUCAACUAGGAUGGAAUAUCGCAGUGUUGGCUUCCUGAGUGGCCGCUGAGCUGAGGGCCUGCAUGACAAACCCUGGAGGCGUUAUCACAGGUUCACCUUCACGCCAGCUUGCAGGCCCUCAGUCAGAUUGACAGACAGCGCUAAGGAUGAGAAUGUGAC
rnacentral:lncRNA from 1 species